AACGAACGCUGGCGGCGUGCCUAACACAUGCAAGUCGAACGAGAAAGUGGGCUUCGGCCCGCGAGUAAAGUGGCAGACGGGUGAGUAACACGUGGGUAACCUGCCCGGAGGUGGGGGAUAACUGUCCGAAAGGAUGGCUAAUACCGCAUGACAUCGUCGGGGCUUCGGCUCCGGCGAUCAAAGCUGGCCUCUACUUGUAAGCUAGCGCCACCGGAGGGGCCCGCGGCCCAUUAGCUAGUUGGCGAGGUAACGGCUCACCAAGGCGACGAUGGGUAGCCGGCCUGAGAGGGUGUCCGGCCACACUGGAACUGAGACACGGUCCAGACUCCUACGGGAGGCAGCAGUGAGGAAUCUUGCGCAAUGGGCGAAAGCCUGACGCAGCGACGCCGCGUGGAGGACGAAGGUCUUCGGAUCGUAAACUCCUGUCAAGUGGGACGAAUCCCGCGAGGGUGAACAAUCCUCGAGGUUGACGGUACCGCUGAAGGAAGCCCCGGCUAACUCCGUGCCAGCCGCCGCAGUAAAAC
rnacentral:rRNA from 1 species